GGACUUGCUCCUGAANUACGGCGGNGGGUGAGUACACGUGGGCACCUGCCUAUAAGACUGGGAUAACUUCGGGAAACCGGAGCUAAUACCGGAUACGUUCUUUUCUCGCAUGAGAGAAGAUGGAAAGACGGUUUACGCUGUCACUUAUAGAUGGGCCCGCGGCGCAUUAGCUAGUUGGUGAGGUAAUGGCUCACCAAGGCGACGAUGCGUAGCCGACCUGAGAGGGUGAUCGGCCACACUGGGACUGAGACACGGCCCAGACUCCUACGGGAGGCAGCAGUAGGGAAUCUUCCGCAAUGGACGAAAGUCUGACGGAGCAACGCCGCGUGAACGAAGAAGGCCUUCGGGUCGUAAAGUUCUGUUGUUAGGGAAGAACAAGUACCAGAGUAACUGCUGGUACCUUGACGGUACCUAACCAGAAAGCCACGGCUAACUACGUGCCAGCC
rnacentral:rRNA from 2 species